ACAAACAAAAAUUUUACAAUAAAACCAAGAAAUUAAAAAAAAAUACUGUUAUAGUUAAUUUAGUGUUGUGAAGUAUUUUGGUAUUAAAAAUAAUUUUAUAAUUGGUUAAGUAUUUUAUCUGGUUGAUAAGAUCUUCUAAAAUUAAUAAAAUAAGUACUUGUUAUAUUAUAACCAUUUAUUAAAUUUAACAGAAGAACAUUGUAAUUUUUAUUUUGCUAUGAUUGUACAUAUAAAUAGGAAGAAUUAAGUGUGAAUGGUAUAGUGAAUGUAGUAACACUUUCAUCAAUCUAGAAAAAAAAAACUAAUUAAUCCA